UACGUAUGGUGCAAGCGUUAUCCGGAUUUACUGGGUGUAAAGGGAGCGUAGACGGAUGGGCAAGUCUGAUGUGAAAACCCGGGGCUCAACCCCGGGACUGCAUUGGAAACUGUUCAUCUGGAGUGCUGGAGAGGUAAGUGGAAUUCCUAGUGUAGCGGUGAAAUGCGUAGAUAUUAGGAGGAACACCAGUGGCGAAGGCGGCUUACUGGACAGUAACUGACGUUGAGGCUCGAAAGCGUGGGGAGCAAACAGG
rnacentral:rRNA from 1 species